CCACACCUAAAAACAUCUUUCCACGUGAACCGUUUGUGACAUGGUUGGGCUUGUGCGUGUUCUCUCUGUUUUGGGGGGAGGCGUGCGAGCUAUCUGUAAACUUGUCAAACCCAUUCUCUUUGAUAACUGAAACAUACUGUGGGGACGAAAGUCUCUGCUUUGAACUAGAUAG
rnacentral:rRNA from 1 species